UAAAGUAUAGUAUAAUAAAUUACGUUUCACUUACACUGAAAUAAUUUCUAUAUAAGAAUACUUUAAUUUAACUAAAAUAAAACCAAAUCUCCAAAAAAAUCUAUAAAUCUUUACAUCCCUAGUAAAUAAGACCAGAAAAGAACAUUUCCAAAAUACAAGUAACGCAAGUGAAGUCAAACAAAAAUAAAAAAGUAGGACUAUAUCACCGUACCUUUAGCAUCAUGGUUAAAUAAAAAAUAAAAAAAAUAACCUUCCCGAAAUAAAAAUGAUCUAUUUUUUUACAAAGAUUUUAUAUAGCAACAUAAUUCCCAGAUAAAAAAAUAGAGGUGAAAUUCCAAUCGCAUUUUAAGAUAGCUGGUUCUUCAAAAAAUACAUAUAAGUGUUACAGUAAUUCUCUUAAAAACUAAUUUCUAAAAACAAGAAAAUUACCAGUCAUAAAAUUAAGGAUAAGCUUAAUUUUAAAUUGUGAAUAAACGCACUAUAAUUUAUCAAGUAGGCCUAAAACCAGCCACCUAAAGAAACCGUUAUAGACCAAUUAAACAAAAUACAAAAUACCUAUUAAAUAUUUCCUAUAACUAUAUUGAAGUAUAUUGAAAGUACGGUAAUCAAUACAAAGAAUUUUUAAACAAGUAAUAAAUCAAUUAUAGCGUUAAUUAUCUCAUUUCAAUAAUUAAAAAAAUGAAAAAACCAUAAUAAAAAGAUAAAAUAAAAAAAAGGAACUCGGCAAAAACUUAUUCCACCUGUUUACCAAAAACAUGGCUCUUUGUAAUAAAAAAAUAAAGAGUCAGACCUGCUCAAUGAUUUUUAUAAUUAAAUAGCCGCGGUACCCUGACCGUGCAAAGGUAGCAUAAUCACUUGCCUCUUAAUUAGUGGCUAGCAUGAAAGGUUCAAUGAGAAUAAAACUGUCUCUUUUUUAAUCUAUCGAAACUACCUACUAGGUGAAAAGGCCUAGAUCUUCAUACAAGACAAUAAGACCCUAUCGAGCUUUAGGUUAAAAUCUUACAUACAAAAUCAAAAAGAAAUUAUACCUUUAGUUGGGGCGACUAAGGAACAAACAAAACUUCCUAAUACAAAAACACAAACUAGUUACGACCCGGAGAACAUCCGAUAAAAGAAAAAAGCUACCGUAGGGAUAACAGCGUAAUUUUCUUUGUGAGCUCUUAUUAAAAAGAAAGUUUGCGACCUCGAUGUUGGAUUAAGGUAUCCUAAAGACGCAGCAGUCUUAAAAGGUUGGUUUGUUCAACCAUUAAAACCUUACGUGAUCUGAGUUCAAAACGGC
rnacentral:rRNA from 1 species